rnacentral:rRNA from 1 species
UACGUAGGUGGCAAGCGUUGUCCGGAUUUACUGGGCGUAAAGAGCGCGCAGGCGGCUGGUCAAGUCCGAUGUGAAAUCUCCCGGCUUAACUGGGAAACUGCAUCGGAAACUGAUCGGCUUGAAGGUGGGAGAGGGUAGUGGAAUUCCCGGUGUAGUGGUGAAAUGCGUAGAUAUCGGGAGGAACACCAGUGGCGAAGGCGGUGUUCUGGGCCAGUACUGACGCUGAGGCGCGAAAGCGUGGGGAGCGAACAGG